ACUGGGUUGGCCGAGUGGAUAAGGCUUUGGACUUAAGUUCCAAUGGACAAGUGUCCCGCGUGGGUUCGAACCCCUCACCCAGUA
rnacentral:tRNA from 1 species